rnacentral:tRNA from 1 species
GCCGCGUAGCUCAACCGGAGAGAGCCUCAGCCUUCGAAGCUGAGGGGUGCAGGGUCGAGCCCUGCCGCGGUCGCCA